rnacentral:rRNA from 1 species
GCCCUUGACGCAGCGACGCGCGUGGAGGAUGAAGGCUUUCGGGUCGUAAACUCCUGUCAAGAGGAAGAAACCUGCAAAGAGUAAUAUGCUUUGCAAUUGACGGUACCUCUAGAGGAAGCACCGGCUAAUUCCGUGCCAGCAGCCGCGGUAAUACGGAAGGUGCAAGCGUUAAUCGGAAUCACUGGGCGUAAAGCGCUCGUAGGUGGCUUUGUAAGUCAGGUGUGAUUAAUUCGGAAUCACUGGCGUAAAGCGUCUCGUAGGUGGCUUUGUAAGUCGAGGUGUGUAAGCCCACGGCUCAACCGUGGAAUUGCACUUGAUUACUGCAUCGCUAGAGUUCGGGAGAGGGUAGUGGAAUUCCAGGUGUAGGAGUGAAAUCCGUAGAGAUCUGGAGGAACACCGGUGGCGAAGGCGACUACCUGGACCCAUACUUACACUUAGGAGCGAAAGCGUGGGGAGCAAACAGGAUUAGAUACCCUUGUAGUCCACGCC